AGAGUUUGAUCCUGGCUCAGGAUGAACGCUGGCUGCGUGCUUAGCACAUGCAAGUCGAACGAUGAACCUCACUUGUGGUGGGAUUAGUGGCGAACGGGUGAGUAACACGUGAGUAACCUGCCCUUGACUCUGGGAUAAGCCUGGGAAACCGGGUCUAAUACUGGAUACGACCUUCUGGCGCAUGCCAUGUUGGUGGAAAGCUUUUGUGGUUUUGGAUGGACUCGCGGCCUAUCAGCUUGUUGGUGGGGUAAUGGCCUACCAAGGCGACGACGGGUAGCCGGCCUGAGAGGGUGACCGGCCACACUGGGACUGAGACACGGCCCAGUACUCCUACGGGAGGCAGCAGUGGGGAAUAUUGCACAAUGGGCGCAAGCCUGAUGCAGCGACGCCGCGUGAGGAAUGAAGGCCUUCGGGUUGUAAACCUCUUUCAGUAGGGAAGAGGCUGGCCUUUUGGGGUUGGUGACGGUACCUGCAGAAGAAGCGCCGGCUAACUACGUGCCAGCAGCCGCGGUAAU
rnacentral:rRNA from 1 species